UUUUUCUCUUUCCGGGGCGCGUGGCGGCAAAAUGGCGGUGCAAAUUUCCAAGAAGAAGAAGUUUGUCGCUGAUGGCGUCUUCAGAGCUGAACUGAAUGAGUUCUUCACUCGGGAGCUGGCUGAAGAUGGCUACUCCGGGGCUGAGGUCGGAGUUACCCCAACCAGGACAGAAAUCAUCAUCUUGGCCACCAGGACGCAGAAUGUUCUUGGCGAGAAGGGCCGGCGGAUCCGAGAAUUGACUGCUGUGGUUCAGAAGAGGUUUGGUUUCCCUGAGGGCAGUGUAGCGCUUUGUGCCGAAAAGGUGGCCACAAGAGGUGUGUGUGCUAUUGCCCAGGCAGAAUCUCUGCGUUACAAACUCCUAGCAGGCCUUGCUGUGCGGAGGGCCCGCUCUGGUGUGCUGCGGUUCAUCACGCAGAGUGGGGCCGAAGGCUGUGAGGUCGUGGUAUCUGGGAAACUCCGAGGACAGGGGGCUAAAUCCGUGAAGUCUGUGGAUGGCCUGAUGAUUCACAGUGGGGACCCUGUUAACUACCACGUUGACACUGCUGUGCGCCAUGUUCUGCUCAGACAGGGUGUGCUGGGCAUCAAAGUGAAGGUCAUGCUUCCCUGGGACCCAAGUGGUAAGACUGGCCCUAAGAAGCCCCCUGCCGGAUCAUGGGAGCAUUGUGGAACCCGAAGACGAGAUACUGCCCACCACCCCCGUCUGGAACAGAAAGGUGGGAAGCCAGAGCCGCCUGCUAUGUCGCAGCCGGUACCCACAGCGUAACAGGGUCUCUUUGGCAGCUGGA